rnacentral:rRNA from 1 species
AAUGAACGCUGGCGGCAUGCCUAACACAUGCAAGUCGUACGAGACCAUCGGGUCUAGUGGCGCACGGGUGCGUAACGCGAGGGAACCUGCCCUUAGGUUCGGCAUAACUCCCCGACUGGGGUGCUAAUACCGGAUCAUGUCUUCGGACCAAUGAUUUAUCGCGUUUGGAUGUACCCGCGUUGGAUUAGCUAGUUGGUAGGGUAAAAGCCUACCAAGGCGACGAUCCAUAGAUUGGUUGAGAGGAUGGUCAGCCACACUGAGACUAAGACACGGCCCAGAAUCUUACGGGAGGCAGGAGAGGGUAAUAUUGCAAAAUCGGGGAAAGGCUGAAGGAGCAAUGCUGCGUGAAUGAUGAAGGCAUUAGAGAUGAAAAGCUCUUUUAACCGUGAAGAUAAUGACGGUACCGGGAGAAUAAGCUCCGGCUAACUCCGUG